GGACUCUGUGAGAUCAGAGACAAGGAGUAAAAUGCCUGAGCUCAAGUGACAACAAGCAACCCCAGACUAGAGACAGGAUCCUUCUCCCCACUUCGAGCAGAUCCCAGCAUGAAUCCUGCAGUAUGGUGAUGGCAAAAGUCAGUGCAGGACCACUGGGACUCCUGGAGCUUCUCACAUCUCUGAGAGCACCAGCAGCAGUCCCCAGAUAGCAGAUGACUGGUAGGAAGAUGAGGCAAGUUUGCGGUCCAUUGUCAUGGAUAGUGGAGACAACACUGGGCCAGAAGUGGUAAGACCUGAAUCCAAGACUCAGCUCUGCCACUUGCUAAAUGGGACUUUGAAUAAACCAUUUCUCUGCACUUAAGUUCCUUACCAACAAAACGAGGGAAGUGGCCUACAUGCCUAGAUAUCAACAUUUCAUGUCACGUAGAGAUCUAGCAUCACAAGAAUCCAAGUCAUCCUCUGUUGCCUUUAAGGUAAGCGCUGUUGAAAAAUAAUCAGCUAUCAGAGUGCUCAAUUCCAGUCUUCAAUUACGUAAAGAAAACCAAUACCGUAUACCUCUUGGCCUGCCCAUUUCAGGACAGGGUGGAGGAGGCAGAAGGAAGUGGGAGUUGCACUGGGGAGGGAGAGAGACUAGCUCUUCCAGCUGCUCUUAUGAUGAGGAAAUAAUUACUUAAUGGCUAGGCAAUUUGUGAAGCAGCUGCUGGUGGUUUGGGGACCCAGCUGUUCCAAAAAAUAAAAAGAAUUGGGUUUUCUCUUUCCAUAUCCUUCCCAUAGUAGACAAAUUAGAUAUGUAGUUUCAAAAUAAAUGAUUAAUUCCUACUGAGAAAUGUUCUUUAGAAUCCCUUGUUGAGUAAGAGUCUAAAGGAUUGGUUAAGUUUCAAUGCUCACAUUUAAAAAUAAAUCUUAAAAGUAUGAGAAUUUGAGAGAAAUCUAAGCUCAUCGGAAAUGUAUACCAAACCCUCUACCUGAUGUUGCUAUAAUUGAUAGUCAUUUUUUUUAAUCCCUGAGGUAAAAUAAAAUCAAACAAUAACAUGCCAGAACAACUGUCUCUUUUUUCUGGCUACGGAGUGUGGAACAAAAGCAGGUUCCAUUCUUUGGUGGCAUUGGCCAGGCAAGCAGGGUGUCUGGACAGCUAGGGAGAAGGUGACAAUGGGAUGGAAAUCAGAUGCUCACUCAGUAAAUAUCUGUGAGCAAGUAAGUGGACUAGGGAUUUUGUGGGUUUUUUAUGUCAUCCUCAGAGGCAUGAGGGAAGAAGGUCUCAGUCUAUCCAUCGUGCAGAUGAAAAAACCAAAGCCCACAUGACUUACUCACCUAAGCUUUCCCAGUGGUGAUGUGUGGAAUCAAGUUGAAAAGGUAGAAAAGAGGUUAAAGGAAACACAUUUGGAGUCUAGCUGUUUGAAUCCUGGAUCUGCCAGUGUCUGAGGUUGGACAAGUGACUUAGCCAUCGAGGCUUCCUUUCCACUCAGCACAGUUGUCCAGCAGACCGUGAGCUCCAAUUCAGUGACAGAGAUGAUUAACUCCGUCUGGCUUGAAACGCUUGCUCAUGUACUACACUUUGCUACGCUGAAAGUAACACAGGUUUGCAGAAAAAAAAUAAUAAUCAGCGCCACAUCUGGCUACAGAAAACCCAUUAUAUACCACAAAACAGCAUGUAUUAGCUUGGCUUACAUUACAUUUAUGUUGUUCAGAAAGAAACAGGAAUCAAGAGGGAUGUAAUUCUGACUCUUUUCAUGGGGUGGUCAUUAAACAGCCUUUACUCACCUUUCCACUCUGAGUAUUAACUUCUGAGUUGUCAGUGGUCUGAGCAGGACCUGGGCAGCAUGUUGCAUUUUCAGCAGUUGCAGGAGGACAUCUUUCCAUAAAUUUCCCCUGGAAGGAAGGAAAUAAUAACAUAAUCUCAUCAUCUGCUGAUUGAACAAGAUCUGCUAUAUUACAAAUCUGCUUAGCUGAGGAGCGGCUCUCCUGGCCUGCUUUCCUCCAGCUGUCUAAAUAUUACUUAGUUCCAAAACCUGUCUUACUCCUACUUCCUCCAACAAAUCCCAUCUCAAGGCCUUCAGGCCACACUGACCUCUUUCUCCUUUUCAGAGUCCCAAAGUUCCUUGCAUCUGUACCACACAUUUCAGAACUUGUUUUGAUGAUCUUGUAUUGUCCUCUGACUCAUUUUAAACCAAUAUUUGUUCCUUGAGAAUGAAGAUCAUACUAACAAUCUCUUUGUCCCCUGCAGAUUUCAGCAUGGUGAAGGAAAAGUAGCAGAAGACUGAAUGCAUACUCAGUUUUCAAGCUCUGGAUUUAAUCUUUCCAUAGCUGGAAUUGCCUCCUCCUCAAAAGCCUUAUUUGUUCAUUUAAUUGGGGCAACAUGAAAUAAUGAUGUAUCAUUGACAGAGAACAGGGGGCUUAGGUUCUCAUCUUGGUCCUAGUGAUUACUCUAUGCAUAACCUCAACUUCUUUAUCUGUACAUUGGGAACAAUAAUUCUUACUCCACUUGUUGUGUUGAAACUGAAUUAUAUAAUUCAUAAAUUAAAACACCAAAUUCUGAUAAAUGCUAAAUGCCAUUUUCUUAUCUUGUUCUUUCCUAUAAUGCCCAUUUUGAUAUAAACCAGGCUCCCUAGUCAGUCUUGCAGAAGGUAUUCUCAAGAAGAACUUAUAUCUUUGGUUUAUCAACAAAUUUGCAAAGCUGUGUUGAUAAUCUAGAGCUGAGUCUUUUAACAAGUUUUAACAAUAUCUCAAUUACUAUGAUGUAGGUCUCUUAAUAAAAUGUAAAUGUAAAUGUGACAGAAGUCAACAUUAGGACUUUUAGGAAGGGAUAUAGACACUCAACAUUCCUCUUUGUUCAGGAGGGUGACAUAGCACAGCUUGCCACCUGUGAGCUAACCUUAUCUAGAACACAGCAUAGGAACUACUGCUUGACUAGAAAACUAAUUUAUAAAGCUUAAGGAACUUAAGGGACUUUCAGGGACUAAUUUACCAUCAUAAAAUAUCUAUCUCUACGAAGAAAGAAGAGAGUUUUAAGUACUUGAAAAUAAAAAUCUUAUAUUUUAGACUUUUUGAGUGAAACUUCUUCACCCUUGCAAUAGACUGGCCAGAAAAAGAGUGAUUGCCAUCUCCCAUCUCUUAGAAUAGCAUGCUUGCCUGCAGACUCUGUGGCCAUGUUUCAACAACUGGAUUAGACCUCUUUCAAUAUCAAAUCCAUAUCUGAUCAAUUUCAAGUUGUUCCUGUCCCUUGGGAGUGGUUUGCCAUUUCCUGCCUAUGACUGAAUUCCUGCUUUCUUCUUAUCCUCAAUAGCUCAUGGCACGGACAUUCUCGUGUGCCUUGUCCACAUCAUGACCCUGCUAUCCAUUUGGGUGACCUCCACACUUUGUGUUUCCCACUUUCAUAUCACAUGAGACUCUCAAGGAGAGAGUUUCAGGAUGGGUAAAGCUAAGAAGUAAAAAUAGAAAAGGUGGUGAAAAUUCAGUAGACUAGCAUACAGGUUGACAGAAGAACACAUUUAUUUUCUAGUGGGGAGUGAUCCGUGAAGAAAGACCCGAAUCAAGAAGUCUUUCAGAAUUCUGGUUUUAAUAGUUUCCCAAAUUUACUUAUUAACAUUUACAUUCAAGCCAGAGAGAAAAGAGAGGAAGUCAUUCAAGAGAAAAUUGUCACAAGAAGAGCCUAUCCAAUGGAAAUGGCCACCUCUUAUUGAUCACUUACCAUAGGCUGGGUGUAUAGGGCAAGGGUCCUUAAGAUUAGCUGCAUAGCAGAAUCACCAAGGGAACUUUUACAAAUCCUGAUGCCAGGGCUAACUGCAGACCAAUACAGGUGGAAUCCAACAUAUUUAAAGCUACAUAAGUCAUUUCAAUGUGCAGCUAAUUUUGAGAGCCACUUUCAAUGGUGCUAGAGCCAGCUCUUAUUAGCUCACAGAAGCCAAUUAUUAAAUUUUCAGUAAUUCUGUAAGCGAAACACAUUGGCCACAGAGGGAAUAUUUACACCAUGGAAACUUACAAAUGCUGCAAAUCGUUUUUUUAUCUCUCUGGAGAACUAGUUUUUAAACAUUUAUAAACACACUGGUGGCCCUAAGGGGUAAACAUAUAACUUGCUAUUUAAAUCUGGGCAAUUUUAAGACACAUAGAGGGGAACAAAACAUACUGGAGCCUGCCAGAGGGUGAGGGGUGUGAGGAGGUAGAGGAUCAGGAAGAAUAACUAACGGGUACUAGGCUUAAUACCUGAGUGAUGAAGUAAUCUGCGUAACAAACUCCCAUGACAACACAAGUUUACCUGUGUAACAAACCUGCACAUGUACCCCUG
ensembl:lncRNA LINC02207 long intergenic non-protein coding RNA 2207